AGAGAUCCAUUUACAUGAGCUACCCUUUCAAGCAGUGGUGAUCCCCAAGGACUUCCUGGAAGAAGUGGCAUUUGAAGAAGAGUUUGGUUUUCACAGGCGGCUGGGAGAGGAUGGCCCUCUAGAACAAGGAAGCAGCAAGCACAAAGGCCCGAGGCCCUCUGGUCGUACAGGCUGACAGCUCCAGGCUGGAAGGUUUUGGGCGUUGGAGGGAAAGUUCAAAGAACCAGAUCAACCCUCGAGCAGGGCCUUCCCCCCAUCCUACAUGAGUGGAUACAAAAGCCCCUGAUGCUGGUGGUGAGAUGGUCUGCCUUUGAGUGAGGGUCACCGAUUACAGCACCCACAUUCCCAAAGUUUCCACCAGGUUCCUGUCCCUCCUCUUCUCCCCUGGAACAUGGGGCUCCCAAUGGAGGAAAGCUGGAACGGAGACUUCCUUAUGGCUGAUGUGGGCGACAACUACCAGAGCCAGAAAGGGGCCUCCCCCAGUCCCGUAUCUUCCAGCUGAGCCAGGCUGCCAAGGGUAAACAGCAACCGAAACAAUCCCAGUUGCUUGCCACUUGGAAGAUUAUUAUCUGAGCAGUUGGUGGAUGGGAACUGUUUUUCAAACAAGCUAUCAAAACAAACCCAGAGAGCACAUGUGCGAGGCCGCUGGCCUCUGAGUCGCUGAGGAAGGAAACCGGCAGCCCAGCGGCCCCUCCAUUACGUGUCCUCCCGCCAAGGGGCAGGUCCCCUGGAUCGCCUGGGGCGGGGAGGCCCGGGGUCCAGCAAGGGAGGGUCUGGAAAGUGAGGGUCUGGCGAGUGAGAUGCAGAAACUACCUCUGAAAACAGGGAGGCUUAGGUGACCGGGCUGCAAGCCAGUAGGGCAGGGCUGGCGGCCACUUGUCCAGGCCAUCACCUGAGAGCCUGAAACUCUUGAGUGCAAACAUCAGACGUUAUUUAUAGCCGUCUGUUGAAAUCCGUGUUACAAGGAUUAUGAUGUUUACAAGGUUGAAUCGUAGGUACCUCUCCUUUCUCGCCCCUCCGGCUCAGCCUAGAGAUGUUUUCAUGUGCAGACUUCUUUUUCUUGAGCUCAUUUUUCUUUAAAAAAAAAAAAAAAAGAAGAAGAAAGAAAGAACUCAAAAGGGUAGGACAACAAAUCCUUCUUAUUUAAAACCCUGGUGAGGCUGAGGCACCUGAACUUCCUGGAGGGAAUGAGGAGCAGCUUUCUAAACAAAACUCAGCAGGCUGUC
ensembl:lncRNA